ensembl:lncRNA
ACAGCCAGAACAUUGUUAAUACUUAUGAUAGGUUUCACUUUCACUGGCUGCAGAAGUGUUGUAUUGUGUGACUGUGAAACUCAUGAACAAAGGUGAGUGGUUGGAAUUAAAGUUUUAAUACUGUGUUUUAAUAUUGUUUCAUAUCAUGUAUUACUGCAUGAAAUUGUUUUCAAUCUCUUCUUGCAGUGGUGGAAGGAAGAUUCAUGUUCAGGGCAGCAAUCUGGAAUUAGUGGAGUCAGUUACUGUCCUUCCCUCUAAUAAAGUGCUGAAAACACAAUACAACACAAGCUCAGGGGAUGUGUGGUUUCACUCACCCCCCUAUGAUGGCGGUGGUCAGUUUAGCGUCUUGUUAAAUGUUGGGAACUCCACUGUGCACUGUGUGGGUUAUUUCUCCUACAAGCCUGAUCCAGAGUUCACUGGAUUCACCAGCUUACAGGUGGCCAACAAUCUACAGGUGAACAUUCAGAAAAGAGCAGAUAUGCUGAAUUUGGGCAUGAAUGAGGUGACUGUGACGGGUUUACAGGGAGAUCAGGAGUAUCAGUGUGUUUUGGAGAAGAUCGAGUCCAAUGCUGUUAUCUGUAAGAUUAAAGCAGAAUCAGGAGCUGUCCCAGUAGUGGACUCACUCACUAUCACGGUUGGGAAUUAUGUUCUUGGGAUGAGUGACACAAAGUAUCUGUUCUGCCUCAGUCCACAGAAUAUAACUGGGAAUGUAUGGAAAAGCAAUGGAAACAAAUAAUUCUCAGCAUCUUACAAGAAAAAUCUAAAUAUACAUUUGGGCAGAUGUUUUUUUUUCUGUUGCAUUUUCUUUAUACUAUUUCUAUAUUAUUUUUAAUUAACAGUUCAGCUUUAAUUAACACAAUAUGUAUUAUGUUAUGUUCUGUAACUAUUUACCAGCCACUGUUUCAGACACAUUCAAACAUACAAAGUUUCUAAGAAAAAAUAUGAUAUAAUGUUUACAUCUACUACAUUAUAAACAGUCAAUUCAAGGGUCCUACAGAGGACAGGUCUGUUAUUAGUACUGUGGUACAAUUAUUUUGUUGUCAAUGACUUUGGUUAUAAUUUUUUCAUUGUACAACUAUGUAAUUAUAUUUUGCUGUUAUUAAUCUGAUAACUGUUAUCCAUAUACUGCAUUAAAGAGCAUAUUUAUCCAUAAAAAUGGCUAAUAUACAGUAUAUAAUCUAUAUAAUCUAUAGUCUGGUCUGUAUUUAAAUGGACAAACACAUAAACACUUAACAUUCUCUCACACAAACAUGCUUCUUAGUUCUGCAAGUCAUCAGAGCACAUCACAAUGUAUGCUGCAUUAUUAAUCAGCAGGUCUAAAUUUUAAUAUGGCUAAAGUCCUGUUCAGAUUAUUCCUGUAGUUACAUGACUAUUAGCCCGUUCAAGCACAGAAUUACACGUGAAGGCAUAAAUAAUGAAAAAUAAAAAAUUGGCUCUUUGGUCA